UGAGUAACCAACGGAACGCGUUUUUGCAGUUUAACGCAAAGAUAAACGCACACGAACAGGUGACAAGAGCGUCUGAUUGAUGCGAUACACGGAAGAGCAGUGCAGCAAUAUUGCUGAUAAUUAUUAAUCAGCUAGCCAGAAGCGACCGGACGGGCCGGCAGGCCGGCCGCAAGAUCUGGAACUGGAUAAGCGGCAUUUCAAGUGCGCAACGGUAAAUAGCAAAAUUACAAAAGCCACGCAAGACGCGAUGGACAAACAAAUGAACGAGCGAACCAAACAGCUGUGCUCGUCUUUUGACGGACAUACGGUAAAUUCCGAUAGACAACGAUUUCGUUGAGCGCUUCAGCUUAUCAGCUGUAGACGGAGACAGAAUAGCGGCACAUGGAAAAACGAUUAUGUAAACGACAGCAGGCCAAUGGAAACGUUGAAUGGCAUCCAGAAGUACAACUCGAAGCGAAUUGAGCUAACAGACGAAAGCCCUGCCCAUGCCCUGCGGCGCGUCGCCGUUGGUUGGCAAACUCUUUUGAAAUGCACACACAUCGACGACGCACGCGGAAUGACAAAAGCGGACAAUUGCCCCAACUACUGGCGAAUGCUCCAAAAACAGCUGUGCGCUGUGUGAAUGUCAAACGUUGAGGCGAAUGGCAAAAUCAGUGUGACCAGCGACGUUCACACUAAAAUGGACAUAUUUGAGCUGACAUUUAUUGGGUAAAUUAUAUUAAAUCAUAUUCAUCUUGAAUAACAAUCAAUUGUUUAGGUUUCAUAUUAACACAGACCACAUUAAAGAAAACAUUUUAGAAACUAAA